rnacentral:rRNA from 1 species
GCUCUUCGAUUCAGCGGCGGACGGGUGAGUAAUGCCUAGGAAUCUGCCUGGUAGUGGGGGACAACGUUUCGAAAGGAACGCUAAUACCGCAUACGUCCUACGGGAGAAAGCAGGGGACCUUCGGGCCUUGCGCUAUCAGAUGAGCCUAGGUCGGAUUAGCUAGUUGGUGAGGUAAUGGCUCACCAAGGCGACGAUCCGUAACUGGUCUGAGAGGAUGAUCAGUCACACUGGAACUGAGACACGGUCCAGACUCCUACGGGAGGCAGCAGUGGGGAAUAUUGGACAAUGGGCGAAAGCCUGAUCCAGCCAUGCCGCGUGUGUGAAGAAGGUCUUCGGAUUGUAAAGCACUUUAAGUUGGGAGGAAGGGCAGUGAGCGAAUACCUUACUGUUUUGACGUUACCGACAGAAUAAGCACCGGCUAACUCUGUGCCAGCAGCCGCGGUAAUACAGAGGGUGCAAGCGUUAAUCGGAAUUACUGGGCGUAAAGCGCGCGUAGGUGGUUGGUUAAGUUGGAUGUGAAAGCCCCGGGCUCAACCUGGGAACUGCAUCCAAAACUGGCCAGCUAGAGUAGGGCAGAGGGUGGUGGAAUUUCCUGUGUAGCGGUGAAAUGCGUAGAUAUAGGAAGGAACACCAGUGGCGAAGGCGACCACCUGGGCUCAUACUGACACUGAGGUGCGAAAGC